CCUAAGUGUACCUUCAGACCCUAGGCCGCUCCUUGCGAGAGUCGAGCCCUUUGAGGUGGCUUAGGUGGUCCCCCCCUUCCCGAGUUGACAGCAUCACCCCGUCCCGUAUCUUCCUCCCCUCUGUUUUGUUUUUCAUCUCUCCCUCCUGUCUCCAGUCUGCGACGACUGGCCCCAUAGAUCCUCGCUGAAGGUGAGGAGCUGAGUCGCUGGCGAGUGGGCCGCUCCGAAAUGGCCGCUGCCUUGAGCUGUCUAAAAUGGCGGUCUCGUGCUCGGCUGGGGACCGCGACUCUGCUCUGCAGCCCAGCCGCGGCCGAGACGGUAGGCCGAUGGAGAUGGAGUAGAAAGGUGUCGGGUGUUGACACGACUUCAUUGUCGACAGCACCGGCGACAUCCCGAGCGAGAGGAAUCCUGAGGCAAUGGCUUCUGGUUACUCCCAUUCCCACCCUAUUCCUUAAUUUUAUUCUUUUGAAGAGUCUGCAUUUCAAGCUAUCACGUUGGAGAGAGUGAUUACAGAAAGAAGUGUUCAUUGUUUCAGGUAUCUUACCUACUAGCUGUUAACAGGAGAGUCAUUUUGAUUGAAGAUCUAAAAGGAUAGGAUAGAGCUUAAUCCUUAACCACAUGACAUUUGAACCAACAGGAGCAAUCUCUAUACCUUUACAAAUUCAAACCUUAGGAAACAGUAUUCAUUAUUGGUCUGAAGUUUGCAUUAUCCUUGAGUUUUCUUUUAUUACAUGAGAGAAAAAUCUAUUAAAGUGAGUUUAUAUUUUCUUAAGAUUCUGAUCUUGGCACAAUAAUAGGCAGAGUAACUAGUAACAAUGUGCAUUACUUGAAAUAAAUCUCAACUCAGAUAAUGUAAGUAUAUAUUAUAUGUACUUUUAAGUCUGGAGAAAUAGUGUCUACUUUUUGGUCUGCAGUUUACUUUUUAUUGUUAACACAUAAUGCUUAGAAUACAGUAGAGCUCUCUGUCUUGGAGCAGCAUGUAUUUUUAAUACAGCUUAUUAGAAUUGUUGAAGCUCUGAAGGGAGACUUCUGAUAUAUAAUAUUAUCAACAUUGAGUACAUCUAGUGGCAAUAGUUAUCAGAAAGAUAAAAGAAACUUUAAAAUAUUAUACAUUGUGAGAUAAGGUUGGUAAAUUAUAGCCCACGAAGUCUGUUUUGGUACAUAAAAGUUUUAUUGGAACACCCACCCAUUCUUUGAUCUGUUGUUAUGCUCUAACUACAGAGUUGAAUAGUUUCAACAGAGCCUGUGUGACCAACAAAGCAAGCAUUUUUACUGUAUGGUCUUAAAUAUUUAUUAACCCUUGCCAUGGAAGAUGUUUCUAAAGAACCCUUCCUUUAAAAUGUACACACAAACUCAUUAUUAUUUCUUACCCUACUAGUUUCCAGAUUCUUUUAGAAUGUUAAUAUUCUCUGCAUGUUUUGAGAAAAAAAAUGACACUACC
ensembl:lncRNA